CAACAGCGUAUAUUAAAGUUGUUGCAGUUAAAACGCUCGUAGUCGGAUUUCGGGGCGGUCUGUCCGGUCUGCCGAUGGGUAUGCACUGGUUGGGCCGUCCUUCCUUCCGGAGACCGUGCGUGCUCUUAACUGAGUGCGCUCGGGAGACGGAUCGUUUACUUUGAAAAAAUCAGAGUGUUUCAAGCAGGCAGCUCGCUCUUGCAUGGAUUAGCAUGGGAUAAUGAAAUAGGACUUUGGUGCUAUUUUGUUGGUUUCGAACACCGAAGUAAUGAUUAACAGGGACAGUCAGGGGCACUCGUAUUCCGCCGAGAGAGGUGAAAUUCUCAGACCAGCGGAAGACGAACCACUGCGAAANCANNNGCCAGGGAUGUUUUCACNGA
rnacentral:rRNA from 1 species